rfam:Brassica rapa chromosome A6, whole genome shotgun sequence.
GGUCGAUGAUGAUAGACGUUAAGGCUUGUUUCUCGAAAAACAUUCGCAGUGGCCGCCUAAAGCCUUUCGCCGGGCUUGAGAGCUAAUGCAGCUCCCUUUCCUUCCUUGGAUGUCUGAGAUC